rnacentral:rRNA from 1 species
CAUGCAAGUCGAGCGCGCCUUCGGGCGAGCGGCGGACGCGUUAGUAACGCGUGGGAACGUGCCCAGAUCUACGGAAUAGCCACUGGAAACGGUGAGUAAUACCGUAUACGCCCUUCGGGGGAAAGAUUUAUCGGAUUUGGAUCGGCCCGCGUUAGAUUAGGUAGUUGGUGGGGUAACGGCCUACCAAGCCUACGAUCUAUAGCUGGUUUUAGAGGAUGAUCAGCAACACUGGGACUGAGACACGGCCCAGACUCCUACGGGAGGCAGCAGUGGGGAAUCUUGGACAAUGGGGGCAACCCUGAUCCAGCCAUGCCGCGUGAGUGAAGAAGGCCCUAGGGUCGUAAAACUCUUUCGCCUGUGAUGAUAAUGACAGUAGCAGGUAAAGAAACCCCGGCUAACUCCGUGCCAGCAGCCGCGGUAAUACGGAGGGGGUUAGCGUUGUUCGGAAUUACUGGGCGUAAAGCGCACGUAGGCGGAUUAGAAAGUUAGAGGUGAAAUCCCGGGGCUCAACCCCGGAACUGCCUUUAAAACUACUAGUCUAGAGUUCGAGAGAGGUGAGUGGAAUUCCGAGUGUAGAGGUGAAAUUCGUAGAUAUUCGGA